rnacentral:rRNA from 1 species
UACGGGGGGGGCAAGCGUUGUUCGGAAUUACUGGGCGUAAAGGGCUCGUAGGUGGCCAACUAAGUCAGACGUGAAAUCCCCAGGCUCAACUUGGGAACUGCGUCUGAUACUGGAUGGCUUGAAUUCGGGAGAGGGAUGCAGAAUUCCAGGUGUAGCGGUGAAAUGCGUAGAUAUCUGGAGGAAUACCGGUGGCGAAGGCGGCAUCCUGGACCGAGAUUGACGCUGAGGAGCGAAAGCUAGGGGAGCAAACGGG